rnacentral:lncRNA from 1 species
UUCCAUAAACCAUAAUGCCAAUUUUGGACCAAGACAAUAUUUCCACAGUGCCGUACAUUACACAAAUCACUCAAUAUGCAACCAUACAUAGGUAUCUACAACCUAGAGGUUUAUAAUAUCCUCCAUAAAUGGUAAUAUACAACAUAUAUUGACAAAAUAUAUCACACAUCAAGGAUUAGGAAUCGGUACAAUACAAUUUACAUCAACAAAACAUAUAAACUACUAAGGCUGCCACUCGUGUUCUUGUUGUCGACCCUCCUGAUUGCAACUAUGUCAUGGCGUAUUGUGAUGGACAGCACCAAGCAACCUCCUACCAUAUUCACAACAACAUUAGAUAUCUGUAGAUAUGAAUAGAUAGUAGAAGAAGAAACUUAAAAAACAAAUUACAUGCUUUCUAAAAUUCUGAAAUCUUAUUGUGCCUACAAAUGAGAAUAACGAAGUAUCUAGUACUCCCUCCGUCAAAAAUAAGUGACUCGACUUUGUACUAACUUUAGUGUAAAAUUAGUACAAAGUUGAGUCACUUAUUUUGAGAUGGAGGGAGUAUAAAACAACAAUAAACAUGAGGUUGCUACAAAUUAAUCCAAAUAGAAAUAUCUCAAACAAAAGUCUAAUCACGUUGGGCUAUAAGGGACAACAUAAUAGAACAUACAUUGCAGAACUCAAGUACUAUAGCAGUAGCAUUUGAGGCUAUAUAAAUCGAACAAAAAAUGGCAUCACAAACAAACUAUAUCCAUGGCGCGGAGCCACUGCUCGUCGACCUGGCUGGUGUAAGUUUCUAAUGUUCAUGUCUCAACAAGUUUACACAUGAAACUAAAUAUUUAUCAAGGCACUGAUAGUAGUGAACAACACUUACAUGCCAAGUUAACUACAAAUGGCAUGCAAAAUAACUAAGAGCCAUGGUCACUAAUAGAUCUAUAGAACUAAGUGGCAAAUGGUUCUGUUAAGAGGUACUGAGAUGGUGGUUAGAAUGUGAGAUAAGGGAAGGAGAUAGGUUAUUGUUCCUGGAAAACUACUUGCAAGAAAACUGCCAUGGUUAAGAACUAAUUAUGUGCAAUUUUUCUUAUGUAAACAUAUACACCUAUCUACGUGUGAGAAUAGACCUAAUAGGAAUACUAGAUUAACAAGAAUAGCCAAGUGUACUCUAUAUUACGAAAAUAUAUUUUACAAUGAAUCUAAUGAAACUAAUUCUGUGGUGCAGAUGUUCAUAUAGCUUCCUAUAAAUUUCAUCAAAUUCAAUUACUGUGAAAUUGAGGAAGCAAUUAUAAAUAAUAGCAUUCAAUGGUAGAGAAAACAAGUUUUAAAUGAAAUGUUCAAGGUGGACACACUUUCAAAUUUACACUACACUUAAAUUAUUUGACAAGGAACACUAUUUCACAAUACAGAAAUAUGUCAGACAAGGAACACUGUUUCCACACUACAUAAAGACAUAAAUGCUAGAACUUAAAGCGACAUCCAGUAAUACAUAAAGUGGAUAACUCCCUUCUCCCGAUAUAUAAAAAAGCCUUCUGGAAGUGAUUGAACUGGUACAAAAUUCCCUUUUAUUAGGCAGAAAGAAGAGGUACAAUUCUACUUUACUCUUUUGGUUCUGGGAAGAUACAAAAAUGCACAGCAGAAUAGCAGAUACGAUUUUGUCCUAAGUUUAUUAAGGUACAAGCAUAAUCAAGACACAUGAACACCAGGUGAUGGAUGGUCGAAUCAAAACACAUUGGAAAAUAGGUCUAUUAUAUUCAACAUAGCAAUUGUUAUGCAAAAACUUCAGAAACAAAUUUGAGGUUCAUAUAGCAAUAUAUCACCCAGAAGUGUUAGACCUUCGCCAAACAUUUUCCUGUCCAUCAGCUGCAGAACUAAAACCUGAGAAAUGACAAUGUUAAACAAUGCAUUAUGUUUAGUACAGAAUGAAUAAGUUGGAGAUGAUGCGAACAUGAGAUGUGCUAAGAUAAGUAUGAUACUUUUCCUGUUUGAAGAUCAACCUUUCGCACUGAUUACUGUCAAACAUAAAAGAUGGCAGUACAUAUUCAGUGAUUAGGAGAACCAGUUAAUAAUACAAGAAAAAAGGAACAUACCCAUCAUGCAUCAUGAAAGAAUUAUGCAUCGAUCAUCCAUUAGGGGUCCAAGAUCAUGUUAUAAGUUCUCAAUAUAAUUCAGAAUAGUUGCCACUUGAGAGUUAUCAAUACCAACAGCAGUCAACUAAAACUACAGCUACCUGAUUGUCACUGUAAUUUUAAUCAAAACAAAAAAGGAUCAGACAAUUUACUGACUAUAGCCUAAUUUGGUACUGGAUUAUAAAUCUCAUACUAGAGGGAUUAAUAUUGGGAAAUAUUAUAUCAUGAUUCCUGAGAGGAAAGAUACAAAAUCAAGCAGAGGAGGGAUGCAGAGGUCCUAUGCUCACCGGAGAGGAUUGUAGGCAAGGCAGCGGUUGCAGUACAGGUCUAACACUGCCGCCGCGCGAAAG